rnacentral:rRNA from 1 species
UACGUAGGGGGCAAGCGUUGUCCGGAUUUAUUGGGCGUAAAGAGCGUGUAGGCGGCCUGGAAGGUCAGCUGUGAAAACUCGAGGCUCAACCUCGAGACGUCGGUUGAAACCACCUGGCUAGAGUCCGGAAGAGGAGUGUGGAAUUCCCGGUGUAGCGGUGAAAUGCGCAGAUAUCGGGAAGAACACCCGUGGCGAAGGCGGCACUCUGGGACGGUACUGACGCUGCGACGCGAAAGCGUGGGGAGCGAACAGG